UCAUAGUGCCCUAACCAGACCAAAUGCCAUCGAUCCCGUCCGAUCUCGGAAGGUAAACCGUCCCAGGCCUGGCUAGUACUUGGAUGGGUGACCUCCUGGGAAUCCCAGGUGCUGUAGGCA
rnacentral:rRNA from 1 species